AACGAACGCUGGCGGCAUGCCUAACACAUGCAAGUCGAACGAGACCUUCGGGUCUAGUGGCGCACGGGUGCGUAACGCGUGGGAACCUGCCCUUAGGUUCGGAAUAACUCCCCGAAAGGGGUGCUAAUACCGGAUAAUGUCUUCGGACCAAAGAUUUAUCGCCUUUGGAUGGGCCCGCGUUGGAUUAGCUAGUUGGUAGGGUAAAAGCCUACCAAGGCGACGAUCCAUAGCUGGUCUGAGAGGAUGAUCAGCCACACUGGGACUGAGACACGGCCCAGACUCCUACGGGAGGAAGAAGUGGGGAAUAUUGGACAAUGGGCGAAAGCCUGAUCCAGCAAUGCCGCGUGAGUGAUGAAGGCCUUAGGGUUGUAAAGCUCUUUUACCCGGGAUGAUAAUGACAGUACCGGGAGAAUAAGCGCCGGCUAACUCCGUG
rnacentral:rRNA from 1 species